AUGGAGGAGGCUAGCUCCAGCAUGGAAGGGGCCAGCGGCAGCCACCCGGCGCCGGCGUCGGCCUCCGUCUCCCGCGCCAGCUCCGAGGACGCCGACUUCUUCGACACCCACCGCCAGGAGGACGACGACGACGGAGAGGGCGGCCCGGGGGCCUACACGGCCUCCGACAUCGCCGAGCGCUUCGUCCGCGUCAUCGACGGCAAGGUCCACGUCGACUCCGCCGCGCCCGUCGACCCCGUCCGCGGCGCCGUCUCCAAGUUCGGCGGCAUCCUCGACUGGCGNNNNCGGCGGCAGCAGGCCGAGGAGGAGCUCAUCGUGGUGCACGCGGAGGCCGCGGAGUACCAGCGCCGCACGCGGGAGGUGGACGCCGCCCGGGCGGAGGCGCAGCAGGACCUCAUGGGCGCCACCGGCGAGAUCGACGACCUCUGGCUCACCGUCAAGCGCGCGCAGAUCGCCGAGGCGCAGGCGCGCAAGGACUCGGAGCUCGCCAAGCUCCGCCUGCGCAAGCUCGAGAAGAGCGCCCGGGAGCGCGCGGCGGCGAAAGCCGAGCUCGACUCCGUCCGCGGCCGCCACGCCGCCGCGCUCGCCGACCUGCGCGCGGCCAGGGCCGAGAUGGACGCGCUCAGGAAGGAGCGGGACGCCGUCGCGGAGGAGGCCAGCGCCGCGGCGGCGAGGGUGCGGGACACUGCUGGCGAGACGGUGCACGCCGCCGAGGCCCUGAGGGAGGCCGCCGCGGAGUUCGAGGUGCUCAGGGCCGAGCUGGAGUCCGCGCGCGCCGCCCACGACGCGGCGGAGGAGAAGAGGAUGAGGCUGGCGCUGGCGUGGCGGGAGGACAAGGUGCGGUGGCAGAACCAGCUGGAGGAAGCUGAGAUGGAGGUGCGGAGGCUGAGGGAUGAGCUGGCCGCGGCCGGCGACCUCGAGUCCCAGGUGGCCGCGGCUUCCGAGCAUCUCGCGACCCUCAGAGCCGAGCUGUUCGCGCGCGCGGUCCAAGGGGCCAGCGAGGAGGAGGAUAAACAGACGUCGGCAGCGAGCAGCACGCCGGCGAUGGUGGGCAAGGCGAAGAAGGAGCUCGAGGAGGCGAUGGGGAGCGUCGAGAAGGCCAAGGACGAGACCAAGAUCCUGCACAUCGCCGCCGCGUCGCUGCGCGCAGACCUGGAGAAGGAGAAGGCGGAGCUCGCCGCGCUACGGCAGAAGCAGAGCACGUCGUCGUCCGCGUCCAUCCAGUCGCUGGAGGAGGAGCUGAGCUGGGUGACCUCCGAGCUCGCCGCGGCGCAGGCAAGAGCGAGGGACAGCGAAGAGGGGAAGAAGAAGACGACGCCCGAACAGCUUGACGAGGCACGGCGAGAGGCGGAGCGAGCCAAGGCGAGCGCUCGGGCGACGCAGGAGGAAGUCGCCGCGGCCAGGGAAGACGCGCGCGUGGCCAGGGCCGCGGUCCAGGCCACGGAGGCGCGGCUGGAGGCCGUGCUGCGGGAGGUACUCGCCGCGAAGGCGUCGGCGGAGGCCGCCGCGGCCUCGGCGGACGCGCUGCUGCAGCAGCAGCAGGACGCCACCCAGAGCGCGCAGAGCCAAGUCCCCGAAGACUGCGUGGCGUUGACCACGGAGGAGUACGAGGAGCUGAGCCGGAGGGCGCGGGGGACGGAGGAGGCGGCCGGCGAGCGGGUGGCGGAGGCGCUGAGGCAGGUGAAGGAGGCCAAGGACGCGGAGGCGCGGGGCCAGCAGAAGCUGGCGAAGCUGGGGAGGGACACGGAGCUGAGGAGGCAGACGCUACGGGCGGCGAGGGAGGAGUGCGAGCAGGCGGAGUCGGCGAAGCUGGCGGCGGAGCGGCAGCUGCAGGCGGAGCUGCGGCGGCGCGCGGGCGGCGAGACGGCGUCGCCGCCCCGCACGGGGCUGGCGGAGAUCUCGACGUUGGAGGGCGGCGACGCGCGCGGCGGGAACCCGCACAUCCUGAGCCCGAGGGCCGGGUACAUGCCGAGGGCGGACAUGGCGGCGAUGGCGGCGGCGGAGGAGGCCGGGCAGAAGAAGCCCUUCUUCCCGCGCAUGGUCAUGUUCCUGGCCAAGAAGAGAGCGCAGACAUGGAACGGCAAGUGA
rnacentral:rRNA from 1 species